rnacentral:tRNA from 1 species
GGCCCACUCGUCUAUCGGUUAGGACGCGAGGUUCUCAGCCUCGAGAGAGGAGUUCGAUUCUCCUGUGGGCUUCCA